AUUGAACGCUGGCGGCAGGCCUAACACAUGCAAGUCGAACGAGUGGCGGACGGGUGAGUAAUGUCUGGGAAACUGCCCGAUGGAGGGGGAUAACUUCUGGAAACGGUAUCUAAUACCGCAUACCAUCAGAUGUGCCCCGAUGGGAUGAGCUUGUAGGGUGGGUAACGGCUACCCUAGGCGACGAUCCCUAGCUGGUCUGAGAGGAUGACCAGCCACACUGGAACUGAGACACGGCCCAGACUCCUACGUGAGGCAGCAGUGGGGAAUAUUGCACAAUGGGCGCAAGCCUGAUGCAGCCAUGCCGCGUGUAUGAAGAAGGCCUGCGGGUUGUAAAGUACUUUCAGCGAGGAGGCGUUACUCGCAGAAGAAGCACCUGCUAACUCCGUGCCAGCCGCCGCGGUAAUAC
rnacentral:rRNA from 1 species